rnacentral:rRNA from 1 species
GACGAACGCUGGCGGCGUGCUUAACACAUGCAAGUCGAACGGUUCGUCCCUCCUGUGUGCUUGCGCUCGAGUGGCAAGAGGGGGUGCGACCGGGGAAGUAACACGUGGGUAACCUAGCCAUCAGCGAGGGAUAACACUUUAAAACAGGUGAUAAUAUCGUGUAACAGGUUGUGCCUCGGAGCAUAAGGGUGAAUGGCGCUGGAGCGUGGGUUUGAUAGCUGGUUGGGGGGGUAAUGGCCUAGCUAGGCGAGGAUGGGUAGACGACCUGAGCGGAGGAUCGGCCACCCUGGGACGGAGACACGGCCCAGACGCCUACGGGAGGCAGCAGUCGGGAAUCGUAGGCAAUGGACGAAAGUCUGACACAGCAACGCCGCGUGUGUGACGAAGGCGUUCGGAUCGUAAAGCUCUGUUGUUGGAGAAGAACAGGGUUGUCCGGAAACGAAGGUUGCGUGACGGUAUUUAGUCAAAAAGCAACGGCUAACUACGUG